rnacentral:sRNA from 1 species
GAGAACCUGGGGACGCUAGGUUCCGGAACCUGACCUGAGCUGGGGCCUGUGCUUCCAGCGGGUGGUGGGGGGCCUGGUGUGCUGGCAUCAAGUAAGCGGACUACCUCGGCAAAGGCUUAGGGACAAGAGACUGGCAGCCUGAACUGGCUGGGGCAUCCGGAAGGCUUAGAUCUUGUGGCCAAGGGUUCAGACCGUGGCGAAGUGGAGAGUGACAUGCAGUUGGAUGGCGGUGACUGCGUGGUCCUGCAACCCUGGUUCCAGUCUGGCAAGCAUUCUAGACCUGGCUGCUGAAGACUGACGGGGCCCAGGGUCCGCUGCCCCCACCGCCAUCACCACCUCGGAACCCAGGGUAACGCUGUCAGUCUCUGAUGACAUCAGAAGUGGGAUCCAAAGUAGAGCUUAUAAUGACACCCAGGAGUGCUGAGUGACCAAGCAAGGUACCCACCAGGCCGAUUAUGUCCAUUGUUCUCUUGGAGCAGCUGGUCAUCAUGGGAAAGAGUGCCACACUGGGAAUGCAAGCUGUCCUUGCUUCUGAACCAAGACUACUAUUGUGC